AAAAACUUAGAAUAUUAAUAAUUCCUUUCAAUGUCUUUGAAAAAAAAUCUUAGUGAUAGUUUUGU
rnacentral:tRNA from 1 species